GGAAUUNCUGGGCGUAAAGCGGGCGCAGACGGUUACUUAAGCAGGAUGUGAANUCCCCGGGCUCAACCUGGGAACUGCGUUCUGAACUGGGUGACUAGAGUGUGUCAGAGGGAGGUAGAAUUCCACGUGUAGCAGUGAAAUGCGUAGAGAUGUGGAGGAAUACCGAUGGCGAAGGCAGCCUCCUGGGAUAACACUGACGUUCAUGCCCGAAAGCGUGGGUAGCAAACAGGAUUAGAUACCCUGGUAGUCCACGCCCUAAACGAUGUCGAUUAGCUGUUGGGCAGCAUGACUGCUUAGUAGCGAAGCUAACGCGUGAAAUCGACCGCCUGGGGAGUACGGUCGCAAGAUUAAAACUCAAAGGAAUUGACGGGGACCCGCACAAGCGGUGGAUGAUGUGGAUUAAUUCGAUGCAACGCGAAGAACCUUACCUGGUCUUGACAUGUACGGAACCCUCCAGAGACGGAGGGGUGCCUUCGGGAGCCGUAACACAGGUGCUGCAUGGCUGUCGUCAGCUCGUGUCGUGAGAUGCUGGGUUAAGUCCCGCAACGAGCGCAACCCUUGUCAUUAGUUGCCAUCAUUAAGUUGGGCACUCUAAUGAGACUGCCGGUGACAAGCCGGAGGAAGGUGGGGAUGACGUCAAGUCCUCACGGCCCUUAUGACCAGGGCUUCACACGUCAUACAAUGGUCGGUACAGAGGGUAGCCAAGCCGCGAGGUGGAGCCAAUCUCACAAAACCGAUCGUAGUCCGGAUUGCACUCUGCAACUCGAGUGCAUGAAGUCGGAAUCGCUAGUAAUCGCAGGUCAGCAUACUGCGGUGAAUACGUUCCCGGGUCUUGUACACACCGCCCGUCACGCCAUGGGAGUGGGGGAUACCAGAA
rnacentral:rRNA from 1 species